rnacentral:rRNA from 1 species
UUCUAAGAGGAUUGACAGAACGAGAGCUCGUCCUUGAUUCGGUGGAUGGUGGUGCAUGUCCGUUCUUAGUUGGUGGAGCGAUUUGUCUGGUUAAUUUCAUUAACGAACAAGACUCCAUCCUAUUAAAUAGGUGCGUGGUUCUCUGCAAUUAGCACCCUUAGAGGGACGAGCGUCUCCUAGCCGCACGAAAGAUAGCAAUAACAGGUCUGUGAUGCCCUUAGAU